GCCCUGGUGGUGGAAUUGGUAGACACAAGGGAUUUAAAAUCCCUCGGCGUUCGCGCCGUGCCGGUUCAAGUCCGGCCCGGGGCACCA
rnacentral:tRNA from 1 species